ACUGUUCCAAUGCGAGUCUGCCAAAGUAGGGAAGCCCCACACGUCUGGAAUCCACACUCCGACCUGGGAGGAUACUGGAGAAACGAGCAGGAUUCAGAGCAAAGGGCCCACACUGUGCUGUUCCUCUUAAGGCUGCUUUCUGAAGGGCUGUGCGUGGAAGUAUGUGUGAGGUGGUGAUUCGGGAGGAACACAGGGCUUAGUGGCCUUGGAAGAAUGCAAAACCCUCGGUAAACAGAAAUAUGUUAAUGAGGGAAAAUUGCAUGAGAUAUAAACACCCACAGCACGGAUCUCAGAGAUGAAGAUGAACACCGGAGCAGAGGGAACUUUGGAAUGACUGACUGCCUUCUUUCUCAUCCACUAUAAAGUGUCAAAGACAAAGUGGAUAUUUUAGGAUAUUGAUCCUGCAUCUUCCCAGACUGCUGCCUCUGAAUGAAACACAACUUAGAGAUUCGAUUCUUGCCACUGAUAUUUGUGGUGAUGGGCAUUGUGAACUCUGGUACUUUUGUUACAGAGGGAUGGAGGAUGAUGAGGGAUGGAUUGAUAAUUGGGGCAUGGGUGAAUGGAUGGACAUGGGAAUGGUGAAUGAAUAUAUAGACGGCAGAGAAUGGGUAGGGGAUGGGGGUUAUGGAGGUAUGGACGGGGAUGGAUGGGAGGACCUACAUUCAUAUGGAUGGGUGACCACUCAAAGCAGAAAGCACACAGAUGCGGACAGGAACCCUUUGUGCAUCUUAGCAGUUGUGUAAACAGAUGAAUGGUGGGUAUGUACAAUGGUGGGUUUGCACUGACAUCUUCAAGGUGGAAGUUCUUUGUGUAGGUUUUCUAAUUUUACUCUCAUGACUGUGUGUGUGUGGGAGGGGACUCUUUAUAACACUAUCUUUAUGGAAACCAAGACUCAGAGAGGCCAUAUUAGGCUUUGCUACAAGGACUUCUAUUGGGUUAUGGAUAAUCACCGCAUCUUGAUAGUGGAAUAGUCUUGAUUCCUUUGGCAUAACAAACAGUUCAUGGAAAAACUCCAGUUUUCUCCAGAGUGUCAAGAUUGAUCAUUUUCUGUGUAUGCCUUGAUGUGGGAAAGGUACAGGUAGUUGACUGAUUUGCAGUUCCCACUGAUCAGUGAUGGAGGGAAGAUUCACACCUGGACUGGUAUCAGGGAAAGUCCCAGCUCCCAGGUCUCAGUUUUUGAAAGCAGGUAGCAGCCAACCACGACCAUCCUGAGCUUUCCCACAGUUGGUAGGGAAGCUGCCGUUCAUGCAACGUGUAGGUGUGGACAUUGGUGCGUCCCUCAUGCUCCACCCCAGACCUCUGACUCUCUGAGCUGUACCCAGGUUGUGUUGUCUCUGACUAUGCAGAGCAGAGACACUGAGUUGGUAUAGUCAGGCCUGUUCAGCCUGCAUCCUGUGGGUGUGUACAUAGGUGGCUACAGGAAGGGAAGGAUAACUUACUUAAAACAUUAUCAGAUUUCGCAAUAUUUUUUUGUAACUUGAUUGCCUUGUUCUUGAAUGUGAACUUUGUAGAUAACAAUAUUGUGUCACGAUGUCAAAAGGUUGGACAUGCCUUUUGUCCAUGCAUGCAAUGGGCCCUGUCCAGUAGAAGAACAGGAUGCUGAAAGGUCUGUGGAAACGUGUCCUUCUAGAAGUAUGGGGCAGUUUACAGGGCUUUGAACCUCUUGUUCAGCAGCCCCUUGUAGACUUUGUAAUUAAAUCCUUAGCCACCCUA
rnacentral:lncRNA from 1 species